GAUGAACGCUGGCGGCGUGCCUAAUACAUGCAAGUCGAGCGAACGGACGAGAAGCUUGCUUUUUUGAUGUUAGCGGCGGACGGGUGAGUAACACGUGGAUAACCUACCUAUAAGACUGGGAUAACUUCGGGAAACCGGAGCUAAUACCGGAUAAUAUUUUGAACCGCAUGGUUCAAAAGUGAAAGACGGUCUUGCUGUCACUUAUAGAUGGAUCCGCGCUGUAUUAGCUAGUUGGUAAGGUAACGGCUUACCAAGGCAACGAUGCAUAGACGACCUGAGAGAGGGGUAGCCGGCCUUAGAGCUGAGACAGGGACAAGAGUACUACGAGACGCAGCAGUAGCGAACGGGCGGCAGUAGGGGGAAGCCUGGCGCAGCAGGCGCGAGCGAGAGGCAGCGAUGCUCCGUGCGUAAAGCUGUGUUAUGAGGGAUGAACCGAUGUCGAAUGUGCUGAGGCGAGAGUGACGGUACCUAGUAAGAAAGCACCGGCUAACUACGUG
rnacentral:rRNA from 1 species